UGGGGAAUUUUGGACAAUGGGCGAAAGCCUGAUCCAGCAAUGCCGCGUGUGUGAAGAAGGCCUUCGGGUUGUAAAGCACUUUUGUCCGGAAAGAAAUCCUUGGCUCUAAUACAGUCGGGGGAUGACGGUACCGGAAGAAUAAGCACCGGCUAACUACGUGCCAGCAGCCGCGGUAAUACGUAGGGUGCAAGCGUUAAUCGGAAUUACUGGGCGUAAAGCGUGCGCAGGCGGUUUGCUAAGACCGAUGUGAAAUCCCCGGGCUCAACCUGGGAACUGCAUUGGUGACUGGCAGGCUAGAGUAUGGCAGAGGGGGGUAGAAUUCCACGUGCAGCAGUGAAAUGCGUAGAGAUGUGGAGGAAUACCGAUGGCGAAGGCAGCCCCCUGGGCCAAUACUGACGCUCAUGCACGAAAGCGUGGGGAGCAAACAGGAUUAGAUACCCUGGUAGUCCACGCCCUAAACGAUGUCAACUAGUUGUUGGGGAUUCAUUUCCUUAGUAACGUAGCUAACGCGUGAAGUUGACCGCCUGGGGAGUACGGUCGCAAGAUUAAAACUUAAAUGAAUUGACGGGGUCAUAGCUG
rnacentral:rRNA from 1 species